rnacentral:rRNA from 1 species
AACUAAGGUUUCCCCUAGUACGGCGAGUGAAGAGGGCCGAGCCCAAGUUUGAAAGCUGCGCUUCGGUGUCCGAAUGUAAUCUCAAGAAGUGUUUUCCGUUUCGGACCAUGCCUAAGUCUCUUGGAAAAGAGCAUCAUAGAGGGUGAUAAUCCCGUACAUGGCAUGGAGCGCCCGAGACUUUGUGAUACGCUUUCUAAGAGUCGAGUUGUUUGGGAAUGCAGCUCAAAAUGGGUGGUAAAUGCCAUCUAAGGCUAAAUAUUGGGGAGAGACCGAUAGCGAACAAGUACAGUGAUGGAAAGAUGAAAAGAACUUUGAAAAGAGAGUUAAACAGUACGUGAAAUUGCCAAAAGGGAAGGGUAGGAGGUCAGAGAUGCGUUCUGGGAUUCAGCCUUGCUUUUGUUUGGUGUUUUUCCCAGAUUGCAGGCCAACGUCGGUUUUGGGCGCUGGAGAAGGGUGGAAGGAAUGUGGCACCUCUCGGGGUGUGUUAUAGCCUUCUACUGGAUACAGUGACCGAGACCGAGGACAGCAGCGUACUCGCAAGAGCGGGCCUUCGGGCACCUUUACGCUUAGGGCGUUGGCAUAAUGGCCCUCUACCACCCGUCUUGAAACCGGAACCAGAAAUUGUUGGUUUGGAGGGCUCCUAAAACACGCGCAUGUAGAGGAACUAUUCUCGGAGGGGUUUAAUAAUUACAUCGGCGCCUCAAUGGAGGACUACCCCUGAACUUAGCUUUCAAUAAGCGGGGAAAAGAAACAUACAAGGUUUCCCUAGAAACCCGGGGAGGAAGGAGAGGCCAAGAUUGAAGUUGGCCCUUCGCUCUCGAUUGGUCUCUAGAGGUUUUUUACGUUCGGACAUAGCUCAAGAACUUUGGAGCG